UUAUUUGCGACAGUUUAACCGCGGGGCUCCCGGGAGAGGGCACCCGGUGUUCGGAGACGGCCCACGCGGAGUCGCCGAGUGUCGGGCCGGCGGAAGCCCUGGGAAGGGCCCCGACGGGACCUCGACGGCCUCACCUGCUGCGGGUCCGCUCGGGACGGCCCGUCCCCGUCUGCCGCUGCCCGCUGUGCGCGCACACCCUCCCCAAGAUCCAACCCAGUUGUGUCAGAGUUCCCCAAGACUAGCCUCUCAUUUAUUGAUUUGCCAGGACAUGAUGUGA
rnacentral:lncRNA from 1 species